GGGGCGGGGCGGGGCGGGAGCUGGGCCCUCAGCCGGCCUCACGUCGCCGCUCCACGUGUGCCUUUUGCACGUGGCUCCCCAACGAGGAACCCCGGAACUCGAGGCCCCGCCCUCUCCAUUUCCCGUCAAUCAGGAGCCUCAGGCCCGCCCCUGACCCGCCCCUCCCCGGCGUCGGGGUUGUCCGGUGAGCCCCGAACGCGAGCUGGGCCUGGACUUCCGAGGGGAGGAGAGAAUGGAACACGCGUUGCCGGGGCGACCGGAGGGGCGGAGCUCAUUAUGUAACGGGGCCGGGAGGCAACGACCAAUGAGGUGGCGGCCACGGCUUCUGCUGAAUGAAAACAAACGCAGCACGUGGGCCCGGCUCCGCAGCCAUGUGAGCCCUCCGGGCCACCCGGGAGCUGUGGGUGUCCUCCCUGGGGCCGAGCACCACUCUCCCGGCUCCUCAAGUGCCGCUCUCUACUGUCACUGAGGAUUCCCCAGGCACAGAUGGAAGUGAGGAGACAGUGACAGAGAAAGGAUGAGGGUAAAGGAACCUCAGUACCUGUGUUGUUGUUGGAGUCCAGGGUCGUCAUGUCUUCACCAGGUAUGAUUCUAGGUGCCAAAGAUACAGCAGUGAACAAAACAUGAAACCUACAUUCAAGUGGGAGAAGACAAUAAACAAGGUAAAGGGAUAAAUCGCUUCACAGAUUUCCUUCGCUGCAACCCUUCAUGAACCUCCAGAAGAUGCUCAAGUGACUUAAGAAGGCUGGGGAGAUGGUCGUUGGGAAAGAACUGUUGGUAGUUGGCAAUACUUCAUUCCAGGGAGGUUGUGGCAACAACUCCCUCGGCUGCAGACAUCAUGGAUUUUCCUCCCUCUGGGAACCAGAGGUCCCUCCGUUUCUGGAGGCGUGCGGGGCUGCGGGGCCCCUGCGACCAGGGCCAGGCCAGUUGCCAAGGUGCCCGUGGAAGGGGCCGCCCCGAGCAGGCCGGGGACAAGGAGCGCACGGUACACUUUCACGAAGGGCGCAUCUGCUCCUGAAGCCCCCUUCUCCCUCUCGACUUCAUUCUCUCGCGCCCCUUUCUCCCGGGGAGCCUCCGCAUUCCCCAUUUACCCGUCGCGCCCUCGCCCUUUCUUCCCUCCUCCUGACCCUCCCCCGGCUCGCCCCUCCCUCGGCAGC